rnacentral:rRNA from 1 species
GCUCCAAUAGGAUAUAUCAAAGUUGUUGCAGUUGAAAAGCUCGUAGUCGUAUUUCUGGUGGGUUGAUGUUCUUGUUUGUGUUUAGCGAAAGCUGAAUGUGACAACGGGCCGCCUGCCAUUUUGUGGAUCAAAGUUGAGUAGAUGUACGCAAGUGCGUCUAUUUAGCUCCACUCCGUCACUGAGAGCAAUUGGAGUGCUCA